CUUUGAACAAAUUUGAGUGCUCAAAGCAGGCCUAUGCCUGAAAAUUCUUGCAUGGAAUAAUGGAAUAGGACUUCGGUUCUAUUUUGUUGGUUUUCGGAUCCGAAGUAAUGGUUAAGAGGGACAGACGGGGGCAUUUGUAUGGCGGUGUUAGAGGUGAAAUUCUUGGAUCGCCGCCAGACAAACUACAGCGAAAGCAUUUGCCAAGGAUGUUUUCAUUGAUCUGGAGCGAAAGUCAGAGGUUCGAAGACGAUCAGAUACCGUCCUAGUUCUGACCAUAAACGAUGCCAACUGACGAUCCGUGGGUGUUCUU
rnacentral:rRNA from 1 species